rfam:Schistosoma margrebowiei strain Zambia genome assembly, scaffold: SMRZ_contig0001655
GUACUACCGAGGAGUCCCAUACUAGGACGAAACGGCCGUCUAAUGC